UGGCUGGGAUCUGGAGUUGCUAUGGCUGAGAUGUAGGCCAGUGGCUACAGCUCUGAUUUGACCCCUAGCCUGGGAACCUCCAUGUGCUGUGGGUGUGGUCCUAAAACACACACACACACACACACACACACACACACACACACACACACACACGCACAUGCACACAAAGAUGGGGGAGGGGGAGGGAAAAGAAAUUAGGAUUUAAUAAGGAAAAACAUCAAUGCCAAAGAGCUGGUAAAAUCUCCAGGAAGGUAGGCCAGGGCAAAAAUGUUGAGUUCAGAAAUAUUUAGGUUCAAAUCUCAGCUGCCACUUACUACCUAUUUAAGCAAGUUACUUAACCUUUAUGUACCUCAGUUUCCUUGCUUUAAGUUGGAAAUGUAGUACCCAUCAUAAUGAAUUAUUGUGAGAAUUACUGAGAUUAUGUGAGGGGUCUGAAUUUAGUAUUUAGUACAGUGAUGAUAUUCAACAAGUAAUAAUUGUUACUAUUAAUGUUAUGAUUAUACCUUUGUAAAUCAGCAUGAAAUAACUAAAUUGAUUAUAUUUAAGUUUCUAUUCCUUCUAACACUCACUAGCUGUAUGACUUUGGGCACAUGAUGUAAUUUCUCUGGUCUUAGUUUUCUAAUAUAUAAAAUUAUAAUAGUCAUGUAGUACCUAUUUCAUACUAUUGUUGUAAGGACUAAAUACGUUAUUACUUGUAAUGCUCUGAGAAUAGCGAUCUUGCACAUGAUAAGAAUACAAUAAAUGUUAGCUAUUACUGUUACUACCACUAUUAUUAUUACUGUUGUUAUUGUUAUUAUUCUCAACCAAGGAUUAACAUGUACUAAUUGAGCACUAUUACGAGUCCAACAGUGUUGGUAAAAGAUUUGUGAGCUCUACUGAAUAUUAAACUGUGUAGUAUUGAAUCUAAGUUCCUAGCACUAAGUACUCACAGUAUUUAAUUAAUUAAUGAAGAUAUGCAUUUAUAAUCCAGAGAACAGACAGUGAACUGAUGAGGAAGAGUCAGGAAACACAUUAUUUAUAUUUUGUGAGAACUGAGUACAUGAGGAGAAAAAAAGGAGUCUCUUAGUCUGGGACAACAGCAUGAAAGUAUAAGUGGAGUAAAAUGCAUAUGGAGAAACAAAUGUCCACCAGUAGUGGAAUGGAUAUAAGAAACUGGAAUAUAGGAAAGUAAUUUAGCGAAUUAAUAUAGAGCAGAAAAACUUAACUAAUUAUAUCUAUACAUCAGUAUGAAUGAACCUCACAAACAGAUCAUGGAGUGAAAUAAGCAAGCCACAAAAUAAAAGCUAGUACUUUUCUGUUUAUAUAAAAUUCUAAGAUGGGCAAAAAUCAAUUACAUUGUUAUAGGAUAACAUAUGUAAGUGAUAAAACUAUUAACAAUGAUUAUCGCAAAAGUUAGAAUAGUGGUUACAGCUACGGAAAGGAAGAGAAACUCUCUGAAGUAUUAAUACUCUAUCAUUUCUUAAUGGAUGUAAAUGAGAGAAACUGUUUGCUUUACAAUUGCUUUUUAAUCUACACUUAUGCUUUAUAUAUUCCUUUUCAAACAUGACAUAUUUCCUUCUUUCUUUUUUUCUUUUCUUUUCUUUUUUUUUUUUUUUUUUUUGGCUUUUUGUCUUUUCAGGGCCACACCCACGGCAUAUGGAGGUUCCAGGCUAGGGGUUGAAACAGAGCUGUAGCCGCUGGCCUACACCACAGCCACAGCAACGCAGGAUCCAAGCACAUCUGUGACCUAUAUCACAGCUCAUGGCAAUGCCAGAUCCUUAACCCACUGAGUGAGGCCAGGAAUCGAACCACAACCUCAUGGUUCCUAGUAAGAUUCAUUUCCUCUGUGCCACGACAGGAACUCCAUAUAUGAUGUAUUUCAUAAUAAAAAGUAAAAUCACUUAAAAGUAAGAGUGACUGGGAUCUAGGAAGUUAGCAGUUUUAACCAGAGGUUAUGGUAUGUUGUAGAGGGCCAGGAAUUAAAACAAAUAAGGUGAUAUUCAAUCCAUUUCUUUUUAAGUGGUAAGUGGCAUCUGAUUGGUUGCUUUUAUCCGCCUGUAACUUAAAAAUCUCAUCUUCCUCAAUAUAUAAAAACAAAUAAUGGAAGUCAUCAAGCAGAGUCAUGAUGGGAAUAUUGAAACCUCAGAGAGGAAUGUUACCUCUGACACCUAGCUAGUUGGGCUGGGGUAUCAGGCGUAAGGCAGGAGGGAGGCACAAUAGCCGGCAGUUGGCUAUGGAUAUUCAGGGCUUCCUCAUCACAGUUGAGGCCCUUAUUCUCAUUGACAAAUGACACCCCACCAAAAGAGAUGGUGGAAUUCAUUCUGCUACUGAGGGUAUGGUUAAAGCAGAUUCUGGUCAGUCCUCAGUGGGAAAAUGGAAGAGAUCAAGUGAGGAUAAACCAAAGGAAUGUACUUCUACAAGGAAGACCAGAAAGAGAUAUAAGCUGAUAUAUGUGCAAGUUUAGACACUUGGAGUUUAUCUCAUGUGUCCGAAAUCUGCCCCAGACAUUCCAUUACUCAUUGCUUUUUCUCUUUUAAUCCUACUGUUGAGGAAAUGAGAUGCAAGUCGAGCAGAUGGGAGCUAAAAUCAAUAAGUUUACAUUCUUUUGAAUGUUUCUAGAAUUUAGCCAGUAAGGAAAAGUUUUAUUCUGAGCUCAUUAUUUUUUUUAAUGACCAUCCAGCUAAGAGCUAGAUAGCUGGCUCUUUGGAAAUAUUUCUGUGUUAUUUGGAUUCAAUUAAAAUCUCUCUGUCUCUGUCUUUCAGAAAUUAUUCUGAGAACAAGGUAAUGUCCAAGACUAAUUGAGAAUACUAGAAUACCAUAGCAGAUAAAUCUGCUGUAUUAUCUUAUUGUUGUUGUACAUAAGGUUGUAGACACAUUACAUAAUCCCUCAACAACCUUGCAAAAUUGUGAUUUUUUUUUCUAGAUAAGAAAACUGAGGCUCUGCGGGAUUAAAUAACCUGACCAAGAAUGUAUAGUGAAGCUAGGCUGCCAACUCAGUUCUCUCUGAUCACAAAGCAGAAGUGGGAAUUAGAUUAUAAGUUCAUGAAGGAAGGAGCCAUUUCUGUGCUGGUCAUUGUUACUGGGUUCCCCAGAAUCAGACUCGCUGACUGAGAGUUAUGUGAAGAUUACUGAAGAGUGCUUUGGGGAGCAUCAGAUGAGGAGACCCAGCCUUGGCUAGGAGGAACAGGUCAGGUACUGGCAAAUGACAUGGUGUGACCUGAGCCAAUAGAAGAGGAUUCAAAGGCCUUUCUAUUUCUCACCAAGUUCUUUUCAGUUUUUAUCUGGUACCUGGAUCAGAAAGUAUUUGUGCCAACAUCACCUCCUUUAUUUUUUAAGGUAAAGGACUAUGAUUUUAGUAUUUUGAAGUCAGUAACCCCAGAUAAUCUAAGGAACCAACAAGCAGUGGGAGAAGGGGGAAACCUUUCUUUAAAAGGAGUUCCAAAAGGGACAGUCCAGUUACUUUAGUGGUCAGACGUGCUCCCAUUUCUACCAGAAGAUUGAGGAUGGAGCUGGGUACCUAUGUAUCUUUUAUCGUAGUCUUUCCUUUUUUUUUUUAAUCUUUUAUCCUACCAAUAAAAACAAACUUGUUAUCCUUUCUAUGCAAGGGUAACUACCAUACCC
rnacentral:lncRNA from 1 species